rnacentral:rRNA from 1 species
AUCGAGUUUCACUCCCAACCCUUAUGUGAACCGUACCUAUCGUUGCUUCGGCGGGAACGCCCCGGCGCCCUGCGCCCGGAUCCAGGCGCCCGCCGGAGACCCCAAACUCUUGUGUUUUUUUCAGUAUUCUCUGAGUGGCAAACGCAAAAAUAAAUCAAAACUUUUAACAACGGAUCUCUUGGCUCUGGCAUCGAUGAAGAACGCAGCGAAAUGCGAUAAGUAAUGUGAAUUGCAGAAUUCAGUGAAUCAUCGAAUCUUUGAACGCACAUUGCGCCCGUUAGCAUUCUAGCGGGCAUGCCUGUCCGAGCGUCAUUUCAACCCUCAGGGUCCCCGUUCCGGCGGGGAACCUGGUGUUGGGGAUCGGCCCGCCCCGCGCGGCGCCGUCCCCCAAAUUCAGUGGCGGUCUCGCUGCAGCCUCCCCUGCGUAGUAGUUACAACCUCGCAUCGGAGCUCAGCGCGGCCACGCCGUAAAACCCCCGACUUUCUGAACGUUGACCUCGGAUCAGGUAGGAAUACCCGCUGAACUUAAGCAUAUCAAUAGCCGGGAGGAA